CUCCAAAAUCAGAUUCUGCAUGCAUAUAAAGAUACAAAUUGAUGCAUAUAUUCCUAUUAUAUUUUGUAGUUUUGGCUGCUGCUAUUCCAAGUCACGUACAGGUUAACGACUAUAACUGAACGGAAGCUCCAUGGAAUGAGUAUAUAUAUAUGCGAAUGUUUACACUGUGAAAUUUAUAUUUGGUUAAAAUUUUAAAAACAGCAAGAAGUGAAGUUUGCUUUGUUUUGGGAGACAGUCGAUAACAGGUAACUAUAUAUACAUACAUUAUUUUUGAAUAAGAAUUGCAUUUGGAAGAAUGAGAUCGAAAUUGGAAAAACAUGCUAACACCUACUCUGCUCUCCAACCUUCACUGCUUGUACAGUUAUUAAAGACGCGGCUAUGCAAGGACAAAUCACGCAAU
rnacentral:lncRNA from 1 species